AAUAAGUUUCUGUGUGGUUAUUUGGAAGUUGGCUGGUGGGACAAAGACUGGCUACAUCAACCUCCCAAGUGCUGGGAUUAAAGGCAUACACCACCACCACCGUGUCUGGCUCAAAGUAAUUUUUUAAAAAAAUAUGUAAUUAUCACAUGAUUAAAAACAAAGAUUGCACAAAGAUUUUGAGUGGACUCCACAAAGUCUCAUGUGUUAAAGGUUUGGUCCCUCUAAGAACUUUGGGAGGUAGGUCCUAAUGAGAGGUUUUCUGUCAGUGGAGUCAUGACAUCAUAGGGAACCGUGAGAUGUGGGAUUCUUUGUUCUUUCAGUUCUUGGCUAUGAAGUAAGCAGCUUUAUUCUACAUGUUAUUUUUUGCCAUGAUCUGUUAUCUCACCAAUGACCCCAAAGCAGUGGGCCAACCAAGCUUAAGCCUUUGAAACUAUCAGUUUGACACCAGCUACAUAUAGGCGCCUUUAUCUACAUGCCAAGCAAGCAGCAACUCAGUGAUGACAAAAUUUACCUGAAGAUAAUGUCAGAUCACACAGGUGGAAGGCUAAAUGUAAUGUGACUGGCUGCUGGAUGUUCCUACUGCUUCGACUUCCUGUAGUGAUGGUCUAUCAUCUAGAAUUGUGAGCCAAGUAAACCCUUUCUCCCUUAAAUUGCAUUUGGCAGGAUGUUUUAAUCGCAGCAACAGAAAUGAAACUAUGACAUAUGACAUAAUCACUAAAUAUUUAGCAAAAAUUA